rnacentral:rRNA from 1 species
CAGAGGGUGCGAGCGUUGUUCGGAAUUACUGGGCGUAAAGCGCGCGCAGGCGGCCUUUUAAGUCUACCCGUGGAAUGCCGGGGCUCAACUCCGUGCACGCCGGGGGAUACUGGGAGGCUGGAGACAUGUAGAGGCAAGCGGAAUUCCGGGUGUAGCGGUGGAAUGCGUAGAGAUCCGGAAGAACACCUGAGGCGAAGGCGGCUUGCUGGGCAUGAUCUGACGCUGAGGCGCGAAAGCGUGGGGAGCAAACAGGAUUAGAUACCCUGGUAGUCCACGCCGUAAACGAUGGGCACUAGACGCGGGUGGGAUCGACCCCUUCCGUGUCGCAGCUAACGCGAUAAGUGCCCCGCCUGGGGAGUACGGCCGCAAGGCUG